rnacentral:rRNA from 1 species
AACGAACGCUGGCGGCAUGCCUAACACAUGCAAGUCGAACGAAACCUUCGGGUUUAGUGGCGGACGGGUGCGUAACGCGUGGGAAUCUGCCCUUUGCUUCGGAACAACAGUUAGAAAUGACUGCUAAUACCGGAUGAUGUCGCAAGACCAAAGAUUUAUCGGCAAAGGAUGAGCCCGCGUAGGAUUAGCUUGUUGGUGAGGUAAUGGCUCACCAAGGCGACGAUCCUUAGCUGGUCUGAGAGGAUGAUCAGCCACACUGGGACUGAGACACGGCCCAGACUCCUACGGGAGGCAGCAGUGGGGAAUAUUGGACAAUGGGCGAAAGCCUGAUCCAGCAAUGCCGCGUGAGUGAUGAAGGCCUUAGGGUUGUAAAGCUCUUUUACCAGGGAUGAUAAUGACAGUACCUGGAGAAUAAGCUCCGGCUAACUCCGUGCCAGCAGCCGCCGUAA